UAAGCAUAUCUCAUACUGUCUAAGUUCAAUCCUAGUGUUAUCUGAUGCUAGUGCCUAUGUUUAAUCCAUCAAUGAAAGUCUUGCAUCAAUUAGAAAUUGUCUAAGUUGCUUGCAUCAUUGGUUCUGAUUGAAACUGUUGUGCAUAGCUUUAAUAUAAAUCAUGGAUUGAACCUGUUGCAUUCAUAUAGCUAAUGCUUUAAGAUUGUGCAUUCAUGUAGUAAUGCAUUUAAAAAUGAGUCUAAAUUGCAAAUGUACUGAUGAAAGCUUGCAUUGAAUUUAGAGAACUUAAUAAUCAUAAUAACCUAGGAUGUCAAUAUGUGUCUAGAACUUGCAUAGUCAUUGUUAGAGAUAGAAAUCUACUUGUCUUGACUUAGGCUGUUCUGAUUGUUGCUAUGCCAUAGUUAAAUCCAUCAGUGAUGUCUUACAAGCAUUUAGAAGUAUGUCUAAGCUACUUGAAUCAUUGGCUGUGAUAGAACUAGUGAGCAUAAGCAUGAAUUGAGUCACGCUUAUUGCCUUGAUUGCAUAAGUAUCAUCUAGUCUUGUGUUCAUUUGAAGUGAAUCUGUUUCAUUCAUAGUUAGUGUGUAACCUAAUGCAUUCAUCUAUUGUUGCAUUUAAAAAAAAAAAAAAAAAAACAAAACAAACUGAAUUGAACCUAAAAAGAUCAGUGUAUCUUUGCAAAGCAUACAUUGUCUUUACAUAUUCUUGUCUUGAUUGUCUAGCUUGUUUCAAGUAUCAUAUAUUAUUGUGGCAUUGGUGAUCAAACAGGAUGGAUGAUCUUGGUUUGAUCCCAAUGGGAUGAUCUGAUCUUGCAUUGAGUUGUGGUGGUGUUAGGUACACAAGGGAAGUGAUACAUGUAACUCGCCAUCAACCAAGAAUGUAGAGACAAAGGUCUUGUGCCAUUGCAUAUCAUCACUUGGACAUGUUAGUCCAUAAUCUACAGGAAGUGUAGUGUGAUUGAUUAUGCAAUGAGAGCUGGCCAUUGCAUAAUACCAUUGGACAUAUCUAGUCCUUAGUCUACAGGAAGUGUAGCAUGGGUCAUUAUGCAAUGAGAGAUGUGUCUUGUGAGACUCUCUAUGGUGAUUCAAACACCCUAAUUCCUGGUUAAGGAAGAGAGAAAACUCACAAGAAGAAAGCUAUCAUAAAAGAUGAUAGUUAUUAGACCAUGGAGAUGCAUAGGAUCAUCACAAGCUUAGCUCCUUCUAGUCUCGGUUCUAAGCUUGAGGGGGAGUCUUAAUGCAUAUGAUCCAUGGUCAGUAACAAGUCUUUGCAAAGGCUUCUACAAGGAUCAUCAACCGGACCAAGUCAGUGGCGUGUCUAGGCAAGAGGCUGUUCAGAGCAGCCUUGGCGAGUGAGGAAGAAGGCUCUCCAUCAAUGCGGCUUCAAUGAGAGGUGAUUGAGGAGAAGCUGAUGAAUCCAUUCUGCCUUUCCAAGAAGUUGAUGAUGCCAUGAAGAUGGUGCAUUGAGAGAGUUUGGAAACUCACAAAAACACAAGGGAAGUUCCCUUAGACUUUUAAAACUCUUUUCAAUCUUUUUCAUUCAUCUUACUCAUUGCUUGUGCUUGAAAAGAUACUUAAGAUGAUUAUGAUUGAAUUGUGAGAUUGUGUGCAUCAAGUGUGAUGCAGGAUAUUCAUUUUCUUGUUUUUGAUAGGUACUGAUGCACCUUUGGGAUAAUGUAUCAGGUACCAUUGCUUGAGCCUCACUAAAGAUGUUCCUGGUCAGUUCCUAGCUUCUCUAAGAUGGCUGAGAAGUCUGUUGAGAGGGGGAGAUCCAAACCAGUUCUAUGAAGAGGGCAAGCCGUGUGUGAAGUGUUGAUCAGCCU
rnacentral:lncRNA from 1 species